rnacentral:rRNA from 1 species
GACAGGGGCCCCAAGCGUUAGGCGGAAUCACUGGGCUUAAAGCGUGUGUAGGCGGACGCCUAAGUGUCUUGUGAAAUCCCACGGCUCACCCGUGGAACUGCUGGGCAUACUGGGCGUCUUGGGCCAACUAGGGGCAGCCGGAACAAGCGGUGGAGCGGUGAAAUGCGUAGAUAUCGGGAGGAACACUUGUGGCGAAAGCGGCUCACUGGACAGUAACUGACGCUGAUGCACGAAAGCUAGGGGAGCAAACAGG